AGUGAACGCUGGCGGUAGGCCUAACACAUGCAAGUCGAACGGCAGCACAGUAAGAGCUUGCUCUUACGGGUGGCGAGUGGCGGACGGGUGAGGAAUACAUCGGAAUCUACUUUUUCGUGGGGGAUAACGUAGGGAAACUUACGCUAAUACCGCAUACGACCUACGGGUGAAAGCAGGGGAUCUUCGGACCUUGCGCGAUUGAAUGAGCCGAUGUCGGAUUAGCUAGUUGGCGGGGUAAAGGCCCACCAAGGCGACGAUCCGUAGCUGGUCUGAGAGGAUGAUCAGCCACACUGGAACUGAGACACGGUCCAGACUCCUACGGGAGGCAGCAGUGGGGAAUAUUGGACAAAGGGCGCAAGCCUGAUCCAGCCAUACCGCGUGGGUGAAGAAGGCCUUCGGGUUGUAAAGCCCUUUUGUUGGGAAAGAAAAGCAGCAGGUUAAUACCCCGCUGUUCUGACGGUACCCAAAGAAUAAGCACCGGCCAACUUCGUG
rnacentral:rRNA from 1 species